GCAGCUGAUCAGCCAUGCCGCGUGUGUGAGAAGGUCUUCGGAUUGUAAAGCACUUUAAGUUGGGAGGAAGGGCAGUAAGUUAAUACCUUGCUGUUUUGACGUUACCGACAGAAUAAGCACCGGCUAACUUCGUGCCAGCAGCCGCGGUAAUACAA
rnacentral:rRNA from 1 species